rnacentral:rRNA from 1 species
GAUGAACGCUGGCGGCGUGCCUAAUACAUGCAAGUCGAGCGAACAGACGAGGAGCUUGCUCCUCUGACGUUAGCGGCGGACGGGUGAGUAACACGUGGAUAACCUACCUAUAAGACUGGGAUAACUUCGGGAAACCGGAGCUAAUACCGGAUAAUAUAUUUAACCGCAUGGUUCAAUAGUGAAAGACGGUUUUGCUGUCACUUAUUGAUGGAUCCGCGCCGCAUUAGCUAGUUGGUAAGGUAACGGCUUACCAAGGCAACGAUGCGUAGCCGACCUGAGAGGGUGAUCGGCCACACUGGAACUGAGACACGGUCCAGACUCCUACGGGAGGCAGCAGUAGGGAAUCUUCCGCAAUGGGCGAAAGCUUGACGGAGCAACGCCGCGUGAGUGAUGAAGGUCUUCGGAUCGUAAAACUCUGUUAUUAGGGAAGAACAAAUGUGUAAGUAACUAUGCACGUCUUGACGGUACCUAAUCAGAAAGCCACGGCUAACUACGUG